AAAUCAUGAAAAGAAACAUAAAACAUAAAGAGAUUUAAAGCUGCAAGCAGCGUUGGAUGGGCCCUCGCACCUCUGCACGCGUCAGGGUUACUGGCGGACGCCGCUCCUUGCGAC